AACACAGGGGGCGACCAACUCACCCACAAACCCUAGUCUUGCAAUUUCCACCAAAUUGAGGGCUCCAAUCUAGUCUAAAUCGAUUUCCAAGCACAAAUUCGUGAUCACCUCGUUGAAGGGAUCAUAAGGCAAGGAAUCUGGAUCGUCGAGUGGACAAGCUGGAGGAGAUACGCGUUUGAAGGGUGUGCUUUAAAGGUGAGGUGGAUCUUAACCCUCAUGGCGAUCAAGCAUAUUUUCAAGAACCGAACACUGCACGUUGAAGCUUCCGCGCUUACCUAGUCUU